rnacentral:tRNA from 1 species
UCCCUGAUAGCUCAGAUGGUAAAGCGUCUGCCUGCAAUGUGGGAGACCUGGGUUCAAUUUCUGGGUCAGGAAG